UCACUUGGAUGUUGUAAAAAUGCUGUUCAUGCAUCAGCUAAAAGCUCCUGGCUGUGGCCUUACUAGAAAGACAAAUUGCAUGGGAAAAAUUUGCUUUCACAUUCCCCUACAAGCCUCCUCUGUGAUUAUCACCUCAGCUGGAACACUUGAACUAGUUAUUGAUCUUUUUCUCAGAUGCCUGCCUGCCUGACAGAAACAGUGAAUUUCCAGUUAUGAGAGAAGUUGUCUCUCAUUCUGUUAUGUAAGCAGUUUGGUUUUGAACUUUGCACUGAUCUUUUUGAUAUAUCCUUUCCCAAACUUUUGCUGGUUUGAAUAGGAGCAAAAGAUACUGUCAUUCCAGAAGAAUAAUCACAGGAAAUGUGCUAAAAGUCUUCACACACACUUUCAGCAACUGGCUACCAGCACAUUACUACAACACAUAGGAUACUAGCAGGCAAAUCAACAUUGCAGGAUGACAUCCCUUUAGAACAUGUUAUUUCUGGUACCAGUGGAUUUUGCAGUGGAAUGAGCCAGCAUCCACAAUUUAGACACCCACGAAUCUUACAACUUCCUUCAGAGUCCACAAAGUGCUUCAUAAGGAGUAGACAUCUGAGUUUUAUAAGUGUUUCACAAGGAGCAGAUGCACAACCGCCCACCUUCUUUCACAAGAAGGCAUUAUUCACCUCUUGGAUCUUUCCAAAGAAGGUCUCCAGCUCAGUGUUCAUAACCAUGAUAGGCAAGAGUCAGGUAUGAAGAUGGGUCAGUUGAACACUUCCAAAUACUUGGACCACAUCCUCAGGUUGCACCAAAUGAAACUGAUCUCACCAGGUGCAGGAAGUGUAGGAAGCCUUCCAUUGCCUCAUAGUUAAUCCUUUUGCCCAGUUCUCAGUGUCCUGGUGCAUAUUCCUCCCCACCCCAAUCUCUUUUGAGAAGCCAGUCAAAUGUACUUCAAAUGUAUUUCAAAUGUAUGCAGAUUGUAAGGUUGACUGUUGUUUUAUAUUGAAACUGGAGGAAAAGCUUUAUCAACACAAAAGCUGUACAGAUGCUGUCAUUGUGGCUGUAAAUAUUAAAUUAAUGAUCUAUGCCUUUGGGAGUCUUUGUUGCACAAAUCUGAGGUUCCACAUUUUACUUUUAUUGCUCACAGUUUCAUGUUUUGUUCAGAUUAACAUCUCCAGUGUUGUGAUUUGAUUUAUGGGGCAUAUUUAAUGAUUCAGACAUAAAAAUAAGUGAUAGCAUGUGUCUUCAACCAGUUUGAAUUCAGAGAUUAUGCUAUGUCAGUCUAGCAUAUGUAAUUUUAUCUGUAAUCUAUCUGAGUAAGGUCAGAUCAUUUUGGUGAUAGUCUUCCUAUCAAAGUCCUUGGAAUAUGACA